AGGGAAACCGAGUCUUAACUGGGCGUUAAGUUGCAGGGUAUAGACCCGAAACCCGGUGAUCUAGCCAUGGGCAGGUUGAAGGUUGGGUAACACUAACUGGAGGACCGAACCGACUAAUGUUGAAAAAUUAGCGGAUGACUUGUGGCUGGGGGUGAAAGGCCAAUCAAACCGGGAGAUAGCUGGUUCUCCCCGAAAGCUAUUUAGGUAGCGCCUCGUGAACUCAUCUUCGGGGGUAGAGCACUGUUUCGGCUAGGGGGUCAUCCCGACUUACCAACCCGAUGCAAACUGCGAAUACCGAAGAAUGUUAUCACGGGAGACACACGGCGGGUGCUAACGUCCGUCGUGAAGAGGGAAACAACCCAGACCGCCAGCUAAGGUCCCAAAGUCACAGUUAAGUGGGAAACGAUGUGGGAAGGCUCAGACAGCCAGGAUGUUGGCUUAGAAGCAGCCAUCAUUUAAAGAAAGCGUAAUAGCUCACUGGUCGAGUCGGCCUGCGCGGAAGAUGUAACGGGGCUAAACUGUGCACCGAAGCUGCGGCAGCGACGCUUAUGCGUUGUUGGGUAGGGGAGCGUUCUGUAAGCCUGCGAAGGUGUCCUGUGAGGGUUGCUGGAGGUAUCAGAAGUGCGAAUGCUGACAUAAGUAACGAUAAUGCGGGU
rnacentral:rRNA from 1 species